CGCUCGCUGGAUUCGAAGACAAACGGGACUGUUGAAUGUGGAGUGGCGCUGUCCGAGGUGCUGAUCAGACGCCCCUUUUUCCCAGUCGCAGAUGACUCGCAUGAACUAACGCGAAUGCCGAGCAGCAGCAGCACCCACCGGCCUGAGUAAAUGGGACCGCACGUCGUUCGAGCUUUUGAAACAUGGAGAGAAUUUUUCUGCUCGUUGUUAGCUGCCUUGGUGUCUCUCGAGUCCUGGCGGAUAGCUUGUCGCCUCCCGUCAAUGUGACCAUCAAAGAGCUGAAAGCGAACUCAGCGGUGGUGUCAUGGGACAUCCCCGAUGGAGACCUCGUCAUCGGCUUUGCUAUCACACAGCAGAAGAAAGAUGUUCGCAUGCUGCGGUUCAUCCAGGAAGUUAACACCACCACACGCUCCUGUGUAUUAUGGGACUUGGAGGAGGAGACAGACUACAUUGUGCAUGUCCAGUCCAUCAGCAUGUCUGGGACGAGCCCGCUGAGCGAGCCGCUGCGCUUCCGAACACAGAAGGAGGCCGAAACCCAAGCAUCUAAGAGCAAAGACGAAGUGACGAUGGAGGAAGUGGGCCAGUCCACCCAGCUGAGGGCGGGGGAGCUCAUCAUCAUCGUAGUGGUACUCAUUAUGUGGGCGGGCGUGAUCGCCCUCUUCUGUCGCCAGUAUGACAUCAUCAAAGACAACGAGCCCAACAACAACAAGGACAAAGCCAAAAACUCGUCUGAGUGCAGCACUCCUGAGCACCCGACAGGGGGGCUGUUGCGCAGUAAGGUAUAACCACCCCCACCACCCCUCCUUCCCCUCCUCUCCCUGGGUGCCUCCCCCCUCAGCGACACUGGGCAGUUCCCCAAGAACAACAACAACAACAGGAUGCCAUCUGUCAACAUCAUCGAGGUGUGACUGCCAAGACGUCUUCCCUUCUCUCAAACGACUGAAACAAGCUAGCCCGUUUUAGGCCCAUCUGCUGCUGCAGCAUGACGCUGGGACCUUGGGCCCCACGGCGGCGCCGUGUCCUUUAACACGGGUCCUGGUGCUGAGAUGAACCUGCGGGACUCCGGGAGUCGAGGCCAGGCUAAGCCGGGUCCGUGGAGAAACUGCAGGGCGAGUUUGGCGACUGUUCUGGGCUCUGCGACGAAACCACGGGGUAGCAGUUGUUAGAGCCGCUGAGGAGAGACCGCUUUUGAACCAACCCCAGGGACCAAGGCUGAUCAGCAGAUCCCAGAAUCUCUAUCUUCUCUGGAUGGAACUAGAACGUUGUCAUAUUUCAUCCUUUCCUCUAAUUUCACUCAGAAUCACCUGUGUUGUGUGCUUUUUUUAGUCAGCACUUAGGUUUUUUGCUCUUAAAUCCUGGUAUCUGGAUAUUUUUAAGGUACCUUUUUACAGAUAGACUAUUUGCUGUUCUGCUAAGCUCUUAUUCCCCCUUCGGGAGUUCAGGUGGCCCUUUGGUAACUGAGGAGCUUCUUCUACAUGCUGGAAAGACACCCGAGCAGCUUUAGAGGCCGCAGCCAAGUACGCUGAAUUUGUUUGAGACUAUGUAUGGAAUCCCUCUCAUCUUUUUCAUGCAUUUUAUUACAGACGUCUCAAAUGUAACACUCCACACGCAGAACGAGCCUUUAGAGUUUCCUGGUGUCGUUGGUUCUGAGGGUGAUGGACUUCACCGUUUUCUUGUGAGGAGCAGAACUCCUACAAUGGAGUCCAUUCAUCUAACUAAUUAGCUAAACGGGGCUGAACUCUGCAGAUGUUUGCAGAGAGACGUGCCUCUGCAGAGAUGCUAAAGAGAGACCUUAAAGCAGCAAUAACAGCCCUCAGCGGACGCAAAAGGAACUAAAGCAACCUCUCAGCAUGUGACCGAUGAGCAAACUGCACAUCCGGUACGGUGGAAGAAGUCUUGGUUUUCAGAAAAUCCAAAACAAAAAAAAUCUUUUAGCGCUGUUAUUUAAAAAAAAAACUUGGCAAGCAUGAAGAAACACAAAAAACUUUUUUAUGGGCCUAACCUGCAAGCCUGAGACUUCAUUACGGCAUUCCGAACAGAUGUCGAGACAGAAGGGCUUCUAUGGAGACUUUUCCACUUCUUCUGACCCAAACUCCAUGUUUGAGAGGCUUCAUGUGGUGGUGAGGAGUUUAAUGAUGCAUCCGAGGGCUGAAUCAAACUCAGUAGUACUGCCUUAAAAAUAAUUGUAAUGGAUUCUUUACAUUUUUAAGGCCUUGUAUCUCACAUUUGUGGCAUAUAUUAUUUACCAUUUACUCAGUAUUUAAAUGUGGUAAGAAAUAUUACACGGCGUUUGGAGGAGUUUGAUGUGUAAAUACAUUUUAAAUGUCGUUCUGCUUCCUUUUAGAGCUUUUUAUGGAGUAAACCAACCAAAAUGAGUCACUUGCUUUUUGCUCGUAUGGAGGACUCAUCCUGCCAGAAUGGUCCAUAAACAAAUUAAAAAUAAAUAACACAUGUUGAUGACAUUUUAAAUAAACAAUGAAAUAACAUUUUUAAAUGUCGGGGGAGAGGUCCUACCUCAAGUGGAGGAGUUUAAGUUUCUCGGGGUCUUGUUCACGAGUGAGGGUAGGAGGGAUCGGGAGAUCGACAGGUGGAUUGGUUCGGCGUCUGCAGUGAUGCGGACGCUGAGCCGAUCUGUCGUGGUGAAGAGGGAGCUGAGCCAGAAAGCCAGGCUCUCGAUUUACCGGUCCAUCUACGUCCCAAUCCUCACCUAUGGUCAUGAGCUUUGGGUAAUGACCGAAAGAACGAGAUCGCGGAUACAAGCGGCCGAAAUGAGUUUCCUCCGUAGGGUGGCCGGGCUCAGCCUUAGAGAUAGGGUGAGGAGCUCGGACAUUCGGGAGGGACUCGGAGUAGAACCGCUGCUCCUCCAGAUCGAAAGGAGUCAGUUGAGGUGGUUUGGGUAUCUGGUCAGGAUGCCUCCUGGACGCCUCCCUGGGGAGGUGUUUCAGACAUGUCCUGCCGGCAGGAGGCCCCCGGGUCGACCCAGGACACGUUGGAGAGGUUACAUCUCCAAUCUGGUCCGGGAACGCCUUGGGGUCCUGCCGGAGGAGCUGGUGGAGGUGGCCGGGGAGAGGACGGUCUGGAGCUCCCUAGUUGGGAUGUUGCCCCCACGACCCGGACCCGGAUAAGCGGAGGAAGACGACGACGACGACAUGUGGAAAUAAUUAAUACCAAGUUUUAUUUCUUUAUUUCUCGAUAUAUCCCUGGGUUUGACUGAUUAGUGUUGUUAGCCUCAAGGGAACCUGCUGGCUUCAUUAUCACGCAAGCCGCUUUGGACAAAAGCGUCUGCUGAAUACAUACACAUAUAUGUGUAUUUACUUAUUUUCUUCAUAUGUUCACAUUUUUCCAAAUUUGUUGUUUUUGUUUUUUUAUUUCCAAAAUGUUUCUAUAUUGGUCUGUUUUGCAGGAUGAGCCCUCUGUAGCACUCGUCCUUUUUAUCUGGAAAGCUUUUGCAAAACGCUUCUCUAAUUAUGUUUCCAUGUCUUUGUGCCGUUUAUGUUCAGUUAGAGGACUCUUCUCUUGUUUUGGAGUUCAGGAGGUGGUUUGGUGAACGCUGCCGCCGUAAACUAACAGCUCAUUUACUGUAAACACAUCAAUCCAUGAGUGCGUGCAAAAACAGGCCAAAGCCCCUCCAGCCUUGAGUACAUCUGAGUGUGUGUGUGUGUGUGUGGGGGGGGGGGGGGGGGCAGGAAACGGAGAGCAGUGACUAACUCAACAGCUGCUUUUACCACUCACACGUUAAACUUUUCACUUAAUGAAAGUGGAAGACUAAAAAAAGACGCCUGAGCUGCUCUCAAGAGCGCUGACUGAUGUCAAGAGUAAAGCGGAGACUGGUCACUCAUUCAGCUGCCGCCAGGAUCAGCACCGAACACGACUCAAGGUUAAAGCCAUCCUUCCCCAGGAACACUACCCCCCUCCCCCAUGAGGCACUCUAAUCGAUACACAUCCAUCCACGCCGUUAGUUAGUCACGAGUGUUUUCAUGUAUAAAAUCAGUGUUUACAUUACUCAGCUGUUUAAAUGUGAACUUUCUUCUCCUCCAUGAAGCGAUGCUGCUGUAAACGACCAGAUCAGGUCCCACACAGGCGUUAAGUAUUUAAACUGGUCUUUUACAGAUUUUAGUGCAAUGUUUGAUUUCUACGUGGAGCUGAUUGGUCUGAGAUUUUAUGUUGGGUGAUUUAUCCACAUAUUUUAAAAUAGGAGUGGAAAAAUCCUCCGGAGUGCCGUUUAGAGCUGAAACGUGAACAAAGGAGACUUGAUUCACUGGAUUUGUCUUUUUGUAGGUUGGUUAGAAAUAUUGGUUAAAAUGCAUCAAAACCUUGCAAGAUAAAAAAAACUAAACUUGCACUUAAAGAGCAAGUCACCCCCAAAUCAACUUUUUUUUGCUGAUAAACGGCACAAUUAGACACUCGCUUAUUUAGUUUAUCAGCAAAUAAAAAGUUGAUUUGGGGGUGACUUGCUCUUUAAAUAAGUGAAUGCUGGUUCUUGGGUUAAACCAAAUGUCAUCAUUUCUUCCUUCCCUGAGGCACUCAUCCUUACUUCACUGACUUUUAUCCAAAUUUUUUUCAUUUGAGGUACACGUUUUGCACUAAACAGAUCAUUAAACCCAAAGGUGUUUAUAAAAACACACACAGGCAGCACUGCUUAACGAUUCAGAUUAAAACAAGGACGUGCACUUCCUCUAUCGCUCUACAAAUGGUGACGACUUAAAAACAUUCCACUUUAGCCAUUUGAGAUCAAACCCCUUUAACCGGAGGAUCUGGUUUUAGUGGAACUAACACAAUUUGUUCUUGUUUGAGCGUAAAAAAUAACAAAAGUGCUUGGCUGUGACAAAAAAGCAAGCUGAUAGAGAACGAAUUUGCUCUCCCAGCCCACGUUUCGCCCGGGUUUAGAAAAACAAGGAAUGAGCUCUUCAAGCAUGGUUUCAACAAACAAGAAUCAACUCCUUUAUUAGUGCAAUGGUUUAAGAUCAUGUGGUGCAGCAGUCAUGAGGGCUAGCAUGGUUCAACUAUUAUGCACAAGAUUUACAAACGGUGUAUGCUUACUUGUAAAUGCUUAAAUGAAAUAAAGUUAAAAUGUUUUCUAUUGAAAAAUG